rnacentral:lncRNA from 1 species
AAAGGAUGGAGAGGAGUUUAAAUUUUGGUGGAUUCUUAUAUUAUCUAUAUCCUUAUCUUUUAAGCUUACCAGAACAUUGUUGGUGAUCACUUGAAAAGACCUAUAAAUAGGUUGUUUGUAUCGCAUUGUUGAUGGAUACUUUUUUAGGUAUUAUUUGGAGAGGUUUUCUAUUGCAUUGUAAGGUAUUUGGGAGAUCCAUUUGUAAUAAUUGGGGUUGGAGUUGGGGCUACAAUUACAUUUUUGUAUAAGGGUAGAUUAGACUUAAGC